rnacentral:tRNA from 1 species
UGCAUUGGCCGGGAAUCGAACCAGGGCCGCCCGCGUGGCAGGCGAGCAUUCUACCACUGAACCACCGAUUC